rnacentral:misc_RNA from 1 species
AAGUCGUAACAAGGUAACCGUAGGUGAACCUGCGGUUGGAUCAUUACGAAAAUCCAAAAUAUCCUCUGCCUGCGUUGUCUAGCUUUCACAGCAAAACAACGCAGCAGGCGAUACACACCUUCUGUGAACCAUUGAAAAUAUUUCGGUCAGUUUAUAUAAAGCAUGCGGUAGUUGAAGUCUCAAAUACUCCAUGCGGACUGGCCGUAAUGUACGCACAUACCCCAAUAUCUUAUCUUCUGUAUCUAGUCUUAUAAAAGAGAAACAAUGAGAAACAACUUUAGACAACGGAUCUCUUGGCUCUC